GGGAAUUUUGCGCAAUGUGGGAAACCCUGACGCAGCAACGCCGCGUGGAGGAUGAAGUAUCUUGGUACGUAAACUCCUUUCGAUGGGGAAGAUGAUGACGGUACCCAUAGAAGAAGCCCCGGCUAACUUCGUGCCAGCAGCCGCGGUAAUACGAGGGGGCAAGCGUUGUUCGGAAUUAUUGGGCGUAAAGGGUGCGUAGGCGGUUUGACAAGUCUUCUGUGAAAUCUUCGGGCUCAACCCGAAGUCUGCAUGAGAAACUGUUGAGCUUGAGUAUGGGAGAGGUGAGUGGAAUUUCCGGUGUAGCGGUGAAAUGCGUAGAUAUCGGAAGGAACACCUGUGGCGAAAGCGGCUCACUGGACCAUAACUGACGCUGAGGCACGAGAGCUAGGGGAGCAAACA
rnacentral:rRNA from 1 species